GCAACCUCCGUUUCACCCGCGAAGACCGUACCGUGUUCCCCGCAGUGCUCGCGAUCUCGUGGUUCUGGUUCUACGGCGCGCUGCUGCUGUCGCAGUUCCCCGGCUAUGCGAAGGACGUCCUG
rnacentral:ncRNA from 1 species